AGCAGCCGCGGUAAUUCCAGCUCCAAUAGCGUAUAUUAAAGUUGUUGCAGUUAAAAAGCUCGUAGUUGAAUCUCGGGAUCAAUAUGUCGGUCGUGCCUUCGGUACGUACUGGUAUCAUUGGUCUCUCCUUUCUGACGAACCAUGAUGUCAUUAAUUUGGUGUUAUGGGGAGUUAGGACUGUUACUUUGAAAAAAUUUGAGUGUUUAAAGCAGGCUUUAGCUUGAAUACAUUAGCAUGGAAUAAUGAAAUAGGGCGUUCGAACCUAUUUUGUUGGUUUCUAGGAUCAACGUAAUGAUUAAUAGGGAUAGUUGGGGGCAUUAGUAUUCAAUUGUCAGAGGUGAAAUUCUUGGAUUUAUUGAAGACUAACUACUGCGAAAGCAUUUGCCAAGGAUGUUUUCGUAAUCAAGAACGAAGUUAGGGAUCGAAGACG
rnacentral:rRNA from 1 species